rnacentral:rRNA from 1 species
CAGGACGAACGCUGGCGGCGUGCUUAACACAUGCAAGUCGAACGGAGAUUCAGCAAUGGAUCUUAGUGGCGAACGGGUGAGUAACGCGUAGGCAAUCUGCCUUCUAGAUGGGGACAACAUCCCGAAAGGGGUGCUAAUACCGAAUGUUGUACCGUUUCCGCAUGGAGAUGAUACUAAAGGUGGCCUCUGAAUAUGCUACCGCUAGAAGAUGAGCCUGCGUCUGAUUAGCUAGUUGGAGGGGUAACGGCCCACCAAGGCUUCGAUCAGUAGCCGGUCUGAGAGGAUGAACGGCCACACUGGGACUGAGACACGGCCCAGACUCCUACGGGAGGCAGCAGUGGGGAAUCUUCCGCAAUGGACGAAAGUCUGACGGAGCAACGCCGCGUGAAGUGAAGAAGGUUUUCGGAUCGUAAAGCUCUUUCGUUAGGGACGAACGUGCUCUUUGUGAAUAAUGAGGAGUAAUGACGGUACCUAAAUAAGAAGCCACGGCUAACUACGUGCCAGCAGCCGC